AAGGAAGUUCGAGGCACAAGCCUGUUGGGUGGGGCGCACCUGCAGUCCCAGCGAGCUGAGGAUGGCUGCGCCAGGCCCCCUUCCCGCCGCUGCUCUGAGUCCAGGGGCUCCGACCCCCAGAGAACUUAUGCACGGAGUUGCAGGUGUUACUUCCAGAGCCGGACGAGAUCGGGAGGCGGGGAGCGUGCUGCCGGCCGGGAACCGUGGGGCGCGGAAGGCCUCCCGGCGCUCUUCCUCCCGGAGUAUGUCCAGAGACAACAAGUUCAGCAAGAAAGAUUGUCUUUCAAUCAGGAAUGUUGUAGCUUCCAUCCAAACCAAAGAAGGUCUGAAUCUCAAGUUGAUAAGUGGAGAUGUUCUGUACAUCUGGGCCGAUGUCAUUGUCAACAGCGUUCCCAUGAAUCUUCAGCUUGGAGGAGGACCACUAUCUCGGGCAUUUUUGCAGAAAGCUGGUCCCAUGCUCCAGAAAGAGUUAGAUGACAGAAGGCGGGAAACAGAGGAAAAAGUAGGUAACAUAUUCAUGACAAGCGGCUGCAAUCUGGACUGCAAAGCUGUGCUCCAUGCUGUGGCUCCAUACUGGAAUAAUGGAGCAGAGACUUCUUGGCAGAUCAUGGCAAAUAUAAUCAAGAAAUGUUUGACAACUGUAGAAGUGCUAUCUUUCUCAUCAAUCACAUUUCCCAUGAUUGGAACAGGAAGUUUGCAGUUUCCCAAAGCUGUUUUUGCUAAACUAAUCCUUUCAGAAGUGUUCGAAUACAGUAGCAGCACAAGGCCGAUAACUAGCCCUUUACAAGAAGUCCACUUUCUGGUAUAUACAAAUGACGAUGAAGGCUGUCAGGCAUUUUUAGAUGAAUUCACUAACUGGUCAAGAAUAAAUCCCAACAAGGCCAGGAUUCCCAUGGCAGGAGAUACCCAAGGUGUGGUCGGGACUGUCUCUAAGCCUUGUUUCACAGCAUAUGAAAUGAAAAUUGGUGCAAUUACUUUUCAGGUUGCUACUGGAGAUAUAGCCACUGAACAGGUAGAUGUUAUUGUAAACUCAACAGCAAGGACAUUUAAUCGGAAAUCAGGUGUGUCAAAAGCUAUUUUAGAAGGUGCUGGACAAGCUGUGGAAAGUGAAUGUGCUGUACUAGCUGCACAGCCUCACAGAGAUUUUAUAAUUACACCAGGUGGAUGCUUAAAGUGCAAAAUAAUAAUUCAUGUUCCUGGGAGAAAAGAUGUCAGGAAAACGGUCACCAGUGUUCUAGAAGAGUGUGAGCAGAGGAAGUACACAUCGGUUUCCCUUCCAGCCAUCGGAACAGGAAAUGCCGGAAAAAACCCAAUCACAGUUGCUGAUAACAUAAUCGAUGCUAUUGCAGACUUCUUAUCGCAACAUUCCACCCCAUCAUUAAAAACAGUUAAAGUUGUCAUUUUUCAACCUGAGCUGCUAAAUGUAUUCUACGACAGCAUGAAAAAAAGAGACCUCUCUGCAUCACUGAACUUUCAGUCCACAUUCUCCAUGACUACAUGUAAUCUUCCUGAACACUGGACUGACAUGAAUCAUCAGCUGUUUUGCAUGGUCCAGCUAGAGCCAGGACAAUCAGAAUAUAAUAUCAUAAAGGACAAGUUCACCCGAACUUGUUCUUCCUACGCAAUAGAGAAGGGACUUGAGCAUCCUCAGAUUUUGAUAUCUGCGGAGGUCCUGGAACCAAUCCUCCAUGGAUAUUGAGGGAUGACUGUACAAGAAGUGCAAGAACCUCAUUUCAAUUGUGUUUACACAAUAUCUGCGACUUUCUUGGCUCAUACUUCUUUUGAAAACCCCCAACUUUGGACUAGUCCCAUAACCUACCUUCUCUGCUGCUGCUCUUAGAUGAAAUCCUUACUAAUUCAUGGUCCCCAGCCUCAGCUGGACCCUCCAGGCUGCUUGGAAUCCUUCAUUGCUUCCUCCAGUCAACCCCCUCACACAUUCCCCAUUGCAAACCUUCGUUACUCUCCCGGAGGCCUCCACUACUUUCGGCAGAACAACUUUCCCACCUGCUUUUAUGGCUUGGAUUCUCCUCAACAGCUGCCCAGAUUGAGAGGAUACAGAAUGCAUUUCUCUGGCAGAGCUACCAGGUAAAGAAAAGGCAAAUGGAUAUCAAGAAUGACCGUAAGAAUAAUGAGAGACUCCUCUUCCAUGGGACAGAUGCAGACUCAGUGCCAUAUGUCAAUCAGCACGGCUUUAAUCGAAGUUGUGCUGGGAAGAAUGCUGUAUCCUAUGGAAAAGGAACCUAUUUUGCUGUGGAUGCCAGUUAUUCUGCCAAGGACACCUACUCCAAGCCAGACAGCAAUGGGAGAAAGCACAUGUACGUUGUGCGAGUACUUACUGGAGUCUUCACAAAGGGACGUGCAGGAUUAGUCACCCCUCCACCCAAGAAUCCUCACAAUCCCACAGAUCUCUUUGACUCAGUGACAAACAAUACACGAUCUCCAAAGCUAUUUGUGGUAUUCUUUGAUAAUCAGGCUUACCCAGAAUAUCUCAUAACUUUCACGGCUUAAAAAUAUUUUUAUCAUCAAAGAGAUGAUUUAAGUCAUCCGUAAGAACAACAUGCAAUCUUUGUCUUUGCUUUUGGCCUGUGUAAGCAGAUGAAAGUUUCCCUUUUAGGUGCCAAAAUGCGGAAAAUUACCUUUUUAAAAUGCUCUAUUGCUGCGAUUUGUAGCAUACCUUUUUUUCUCAGCAAAUUGAUGGGUGGAAGCUGAGAAAUGUAUGGUAAAUGUCACAGAGCUACAACUAUUCACGGACACCAAAUCUCUAGGAGAAUAAAAAGCACAUUAUUCUUUUUCUAUCAGAAAAAAACAAGAUGCAUCACCUUAAAGCCAAGAUGACAUUGUUCUUCUUGAAACAUGUUAAGACAUCGAACGGUGGCGGGUUAAACUGUACUACUUAAGUGGAGCGGCUACCGUUAUGCAUCUAUCACAGUUGGGGAUUUUGCCUUAUUAAGGAAAACUUGUCAAUAGUUCAGCUGAAAUGACUGAAUCACAGAAUAUUAACUCUGUUAUGGAACAGAUCAUAACAGAUUUUACCUGUUUACAUUUCAGGCAAAAAUGUAUCGCAUUGUUACCUAAUAUGUAAAAAAUUACCCCCAAUUUUAGUGACUUAAUCCCACACAGUCUUUAUGGGUCAGGAAUUCAGGCAUGGCUUACCUGGAUCAUUCUGCUAGGGUAUCUCUGAAGUUACAGACAAGAUGUCAGGGGAUGUGGUCGUUUGAAGGCUUGUCUGGGCUGGAGGUCUAUUUCCAAGGUGAAUCACUCACAUACCUGGCACGUUUCUGUCAGGUAUUGGCAGUCCUCAGUUCCUCUCCUCUCAGGCCUCUCCACAGGCUGCUUGAGUGUCCUCAUGACACAACAGUUGGCUUACUCCAGAGUGAGCAACUCAAGAGACAGCAAGGCAGAAGCUACCAAAUCUUUAUGAUUGAAGUCAUACACCAUCUUUUCCACGAGUAUCCUGUUGAUUAUUUUGAUCAGCUUGUUCAGUCUGGGAGGGAAUUGCACAAGGGCAUGAAUACUCCACUGGCAAGGAUCAUUGGGGGCCAUCUUGGAAGCUGUGUGAAUGAGCAAAUGAAUGCACAGAUAGAAUGUUAGCAGUGACAAUGAUGCUAGAGGUCACCUACCCCACUGUCCUCUUGUCCUUCUCCCCCAACCCUCCCCUGCUCCCAGGCAAGAAGCCCUCUAGCCUCUGCUUGAUCACUUUCAGCACUCAACAUCUUCAGGGAACCUAUUCCGCUGGGGGACAGCGUUAAUUAGUGGAAAACUCUUUUUCAAAAGUUGAAAUCAGUUCCUCUGUGUCUAUUACCUGCUGAUCACUGUCCAGACUUCUGGAGGACACAGAGCAAGUUUUAUUCCUCUUACUGAUGGUAGCCUUUCAGAUCCAUCCCUUCCCUCCAGUAUAUUAGAGUUACGUAAAUUCUUAAAAUGCUUAGCAGCUCAUUUAUCCUGAAGCAUCACUUUUGAAGAGUUACAGACAUUUAAGAAGUAUUUACAUUAUCAUAAAUAAAUUACAUGUGCAUUUAAAGAGAACAGAAGAGUAUAAAGAAAAAUAACUCACCAAACUCACUCAUAAUUCCAGCACUAAGGGAAAACCACUGCCAAUUUCUCAUGUCUCCCUUCCAGUUUCUUCUCUGUCCAAAUUCAACAAAGUCAAAAUCACAUUUUGUUCUGUCACAAAUCAUAUAAUUUCUACCAUUUUUCUUUUUUUAAUCUUUUUUUUAUUAUACUUUAAGUUUUAGGGUACAUGUGCACAAUGUGCAGGUUAGUUACAUAUGUAAACAUGUGCCAUGUUGGUGUGCUGCACCCAGUAACUCAUCAUUUAACAUUAGGUAUAUCUCCAAAUGCUAUCCCUCUCCCCUCUCCCCACCCCACAACAGGCCCCGGUGUGUGAUGUUCCCCUUCCUGUGUCCAUGUGUUCUCAUUGUUCAAUUCCCACCUAUGAGUGAGAACAUGUGGUGUUUGGUUUUUUGUCCUUGCGAUAGUUUGCUGAGAAUGAUGGUUUCCAGCUUCAUCCAUGUCCCUACAAAGGACAUGAACUCAUCCUUUUUUAUGGCUGCAUAGUAUUCCAUGGUGUAUAUGUGCCACAUUUUCUUAAUCCAGUCUAUCAUUGUUGGACAUUUGGGUUGGUUCCAAGUCUUUGCUGUUGUGAAUAGUGCCGCAAUAAACAUACGUGUGCAUGUGUCUUUAUAGCUGCAUGAUUUAUAAUCCUUUGGGUAUAUACCCAGUAAUGGGAUGGCUGGGUCAAAUGGUAUUUCUAGUUCUAGAUCCCCAAGGAAUCGCCACACUGACUUCCACAAUGGUUGAACUAGUUUACAGUCCCACCAACAGUGUAAAAGUGUUCCUAUUUCUCCACAUCCUCUCCAGCACCUGUUGUUUCCUGACUUUUUAAUGAUUGCCAUUCUAACUGGUGUGAGAUGGUAUCUCAUUGUGGUUUUGAUUUGCAUUUCUCUGAUGGCCAGUGAUGGUGAGCAUUUUUUCACGUGUCUUUUGGCUGCAUAAAUGUCUUCUUUUUAGAAGUGUCUGUUCAUAUCCUUUGCCCACUUUUUGAUGGGGUUCUUUAUUUUUUUUCUUGUAUAUUUGUUUGAGUUCAUUGUAGAUUCUGGAUAUUAGCCCUUUGUCAGAUGAGUAGAUUGCAAAAAUUGUCUCCCAUUCUGUAGGUUGCCUGUUCACUCUGAUGGUAGUUUCUUUUGCUGUGCAGAAGCUCUUUAGUUUAAUUAGAUCCCAUAUUUCUACUAUUUUUCAUUAAACAUUACAAGUUGUUCUCUUGUGUUCUUAUUUUUUCUGUAAACAUAAUUUUAAUGGCAGAGUUAUUCUGCUUUAUAUCUUUUCCCUAUUUUUAUGUAUAUAGAAUUAUAAAGUUUUUAAAAAUGUAAUCAUCGUUAUUUAUAGUUUAAUAAUCAGUUUCAUCUUGCAGUGUAUCAUUUUCCUCGUCAUUAAAUAUUUUAUGUAUCAUUUUUAA